UGGAUUUCUCCCUUAGCGUUUUGCCCAAAUAUUCUGUUCCCCCCAAAAUUUCUCUUUUCUUGUGCAUAUUCAAUUAGCAGAGCAGCUCCACUUCAAUACUACUAUGAUUGGCUGUUUGCAGGGCACAUCCACUUACCUAUCCCUAAUUUUCACACUCGCCGAUCAAAUUGAAAUCACACACUCUUCUCAUCUCCGCCCCAGAUCUACUCGUCAGACAUCUCUCUCUCCCUCCCUCCCCAUAUAUUACCGCACUAUCUCAAUCCUCUUGUAUUAGAGGGGUCGGCUAAGAUUUGGAGUUUGGGAAACAAUUAGGGGCUUUAAAAGGAUUUUUUUAUCCCCACAGCUCACCCUGUUCUUCACAACGCUCCUCAUUUUCGUAGGUAACUUGGGUGGCCAGCUUAUGUUGCUGCAAAUGGCAUCUCUCAAUGCGAUGAGAUUUUUUCUUAGGGGAAACUCGCAACAACUUUUCAUGCUUUCUAUAUGAGGCUUUAAAGGCUGAAGGCUUUGUAGCUUUCAUGGACAAGAGUGACAUACGUGUCGGAGAUGAGGUGUAUUCCACAAUCAAAGAGGGGAUCAAGAACUCUAUGAGAGCCAUAAUUGUAUUUUCUCAGAAUUAUGCUUACUCUACAUGGUGUCUUGAUGAACUUGUUCAGAUCUUGGAACGCAAGAAGAACUCCAGGUAUUUUAUUAUACCUCUUUUUUUUAGGUUGAAAUCCGUGAUAUCAAACACCAGCUAGGAAACUAUGGACUCGCACUAGAAAAGCAUAAAAUGAGGCACAAUGACGAGGUGGAGAAGUGGAGAGAAGCCCUUGCAGAAGCAGAAGUUGGCAAUAUUUUUGGAGAACAUGUAGAGGGAGCACUUUCAUCCAGAACACUGUGAAACUUUUUAGGGAAACACUGGCUGCCAAGUUCCCAGAAUGCCGGCUCCCAGAGCCUUCCUACACUAGCAGGUCCAAGUUCACAAGGCAGUUCUUCAUCAUCAAUGAUGAGACCUAAACCAUCUAACGACAAGGUGAUUCUUUACACAAUUAGUGUUAAUAAUGGCCUAGGUGCAAAUGGAUUGGUAAAGAAAAUUCUGAUGAGUGGGAAUGUCAUAUUUGAAGAGAGGAAUCCAGAACACCUCCUUUGUCCAUGCCGACUCAUCAAACUUUGUGCUAUGGUCCAAAAACGAAUCAGAGCCCCAACUGAUGCUCGAGAGACUGCCCAUCACAGUUCCUACAGUCCAUCCAUUCCUAAGCAGAACUCUGUUGAAGUUGGUCCCUUAACUUACUCAUUCAAGCUUCGAGAAUGAAGACAAAGCAAUAGAAACCUCUGCAACACAACUUAACCAAAAUUCACAAAGUAGCAAUAUGAUUCUGAAGCUUGUUUCUUCGUAUGUAUACCCACAGUUGGUUUACCAUCUGAAUGCACAAAGUAGAAAUUAGCUAUAUUUUAGCAUGACUGCGGGUUAUUUCAAGUUACAUCUGUACGCAGAAAUAUAUGAACCAACUCUCAUAGAAAUGGAAUUUAUAGCUAGCCACAGAUCUCAGGAA